AACGUAGGGGGCCAGCGUUGCUCGGAAUUACUGGGCGUAAAGGGUUCGUAGGCGGUGCGGCAAGUCGGGGGUGAAAUCUUCAGGCUUAACUUGGAGGCUGCUUCCGAAACUGCCGUGCUAGAGUGCGGGAGAGGCGAGUGGAAUUGCAGGUGUAGCGGUGAAAUGCGUAGAUAUCUGCAGGAACACCAGUGGCGAAAGCGGCUCGCUGGACCGCAACUGACGCUGAGGAACGAAAGCUAGGGGAGCAAACAGG
rnacentral:rRNA from 1 species